GUCAGGAGACUGAUCCUGCUGCUUAAAACAACAGUUGGUAGCAAAUUAAACGCCACUUGCAAGAGGAAAGUAGUCAUUCGUGUUUUGUUUUGGGAGACGUCAACAAACAACCGUUGAUCAGCUGACAGAAGAACUCUUUCCGGAUAUGUCCCCUCCUCCCUUGUGGAGGGGGUCUGGUCCGAUGACCAUGGAUGAAGUACUGGCUGUCCAGAGUCGAGACCCAGGAUGGACCGCUCGUCGGGACCCAGGAUGGACCGCUCGUCGGGACCCAGGAUGGACCGCUCGCCUGUAUCGGUUGGGGACAUCUCUACGCUGCUGAUCCGCUUGAGAUGGUUUCCUGUGGACGGGACUCUCGCUGCUGUCUUGGAGCCACUAUGGAUUGAACUUUCACAGUAUCAUGUUAGACCCGCUCGACAUCCAUUGCUUUCGGUCCCCUAGAGGGGGGGGGGAUGCCCACAUCUGAGGUCCUCUCCAAGGUUUCUCAUAGUCAGCAUUGUCACUGGCGUCCCACUGGACGUGAAUUCUCCCUGCCCACUGGGUGUGAGUUUUCCUUGCCCUUUUGUGGGUUCUUCCGAGGAUGUUGUAGUCGUAAUGAUUUGUGCAGUCCUUUGAGACAUUUGUGAUUUGGGGCUAUAUAAAUAAAGAUUGAUUGAUCAUUGAUUGAUUGAGAUAAUUUUGCUUAGUUCAAGUAAAAUACCCCUCAUUUUAGUAUUUUGUUUACCCCUGUUUAUGAACACUGACAUUUUGCAGUGUGGUUCAGCUCGCUAUGGUGCACUUUGAUCCGUACUGCAUAAAACUUUGAUCCGGAGUUGUUGUGUUAUAUUUAGCGGCACGAGAGAUGAAAUUGUGUACUGAAGAGAAUUAAGCUGAACUAUCUAUCUAAGAACGUACUGUAAAAAAACAUGUUCCAGACCAAAGGGCUUUCCAGCCUCUUUCUGCUACGAAUGACUAUCUUGCUCCUCCUCCAAGAAACUAUACGACUACAAUGCAUCUCCAGUAUAAUCCCUACAUUAGCUGAGGAUGGUAUCUGUCCGCGCGCUGGCGAAGGUAGCCGAGAAACAAAGUGGAUAACGGUAUCUUUUCAAGCCAUAUAGCGCGACAGUCGCCCUUUGUAUUUUUUUUUUUUUAUCGGCGUUGGUUCUGGCGCAUUUGGAAGUUAAGCAAAUUGGUUCUGCUUUCAUGGAAAUGCAGUGCCGCUAUGGUUUAUGUUCAACACAAGGAUAAAACAUGAUUGUCCUGCCUAGAAUAUCUGGCUUUGGUUAGAUUACCCCUGGUUUUCUUUUUCUGGGCUAUGGUGUGCUUCAGGCCACAAAAAUGCUUUGCCUCCAAGUGAGAGUGGAACAGAUAUUGUCCCGGCAUUAGAAGUGUAACAAACAGUUCAGGGUGUCCCUCCAGUGUUGCCGUAAGGCUGUGACGUAAGAGGUCUAUAUAAAGGCGGGUUGUUGAAGAAGGUGAUAGAUGGGUAUGGAGAUAGGUGUAAAGAAGGGAACAAUAAAGUGGUGGAGACCGGA